AAAAGGCUUAGUGGCGGACGGGUGAGUAACGCGUGGGUAACCUGGCCCAUACAGGGGGAGUAACACUUAGAAAUAGGUGCUAAUACCGCAUAACAACAGAAAGCGCAUGCUUUUUGUUUGAAAACCAAGGUGGUAUGGGAUGGACCCGCGUCUGAUUAGCUGGUUGGCGGGGUAAAGGCCCACCAAGGCGACGAUCAGUAGCCGGCCUGAGAGGGUGGACGGCCACAUUGGGACUGAGACACGGCCCAAACUCCUACGGAAGGCAGCAG
rnacentral:rRNA from 1 species